rnacentral:rRNA from 1 species
CAGUCGCCGCGGUAACACAGAGGGUGCAAGCGUUAAUCGGAAUUACUGGGCGUAAAGCGCGCGUAGGUGGUUUGUUAAGUUGGAUGUGAAAUCCCCGGGCUCAACCUGGGAACUGCAUCCAAAACUGGCAAGCUAGAGUAUGGUAGAGGGUGGUGGAAUUUCCUGUGUAGCGGUGAAAUGCGUAGAUAUAGGAAGGAACACCAGUGGCGAAGGCGACCACCUGGACUGAUACUGACACUGAGGUGCGAAAGCGUGGGGAGCAAACAGGAUUAGAUACCCCCGUAGUCCCUGUCUCUUAUAC